rnacentral:rRNA from 1 species
GCUUACAGCCGCGCUACUCUGACAACGCCCGAUCUCGUCUGAUCCCAGAAGUAAAGCAGACUCGGGCCUGGUUAGUACUUGGAUGGAAGAAAGAGAAAGAAAAGACAGGGAGACCGCUGACUGUAAUAA